ACCUGGGUGGCAUAGUCGGUUGAGCGACUGACUUUGGCUCAGAUCAUGAUCUCACGGUUCGUGGGUUCGAGCCCCACCUCAGGCU
rnacentral:tRNA from 1 species